AACAGGUGUAGCAAUACAUGCUGACGAGUGGCGCACGGGUGCGUAACACGUAUGUAACCUACCUCUAACUGGGGAAUAGCUUCGAGAAAUCGAAAUUAAUACCCCAUAGUAAUAAGAUCAGGCAUCUGGUUUUAUUUAAAGAAUUUCGGUUAGAGAUGGACAUGCGUCCUAUUAGCUUGUUGGUGAGGUAACGGCUCACCAAGGCUACGAUAGGUAGGGGGCCUGAGAGGGUUCUCCCCCACACUGGAACUGAGACACGGUCCAGACUCCUACGGGAGGCAGCAGUGAGGAAUAUUGGUCAAUGGUCGCAAGACUGAACCAGCCAUGCCGCGUGCAGGAUGAAGGCGCUAUGCGUUGUAAACUGCUUUUCUCUGGGAAUAAACCUCUUUACGUGUAAAGAGCUGAAGGUACCAGAGGAAUAAGCACCGGCUAACUCCGUGCCAGCAGCCGCGGUAAUACGGAGGGUGCAAGCGUUAUCCGGAUUUAUUGGGUUUAAAGGGCGCGCAGGCGGGGCUUUAAGUCAGUGGUGAAAUCUCUUCGCUUAACGAAGAAACUGCCAUUGAUACUGAAGUUCUUGAAUCUAGUUGACGUUAGUGGAAUGUGUCAUGUAGCGGUGAAAUGCUUAGAUAUGACACAGAACACCGAUCGCGAAGGCAGCUAACGAAGCUAGUAUUGACGCU
rnacentral:rRNA from 1 species